rnacentral:rRNA from 1 species
UAAUACGUAGGGUCCAAGCGUUAAUCGGAAUUACUGGGCGUAAAGCGUCCGCAGGUGGCUUGUUAAGAUCGAUGUGAAAGCCCCGGGCUCAACCUGGGAACUGCAUUGAUGACUGGCUCGCUAGAGUACGGCAGAGGGGGGUGGAAUUCCGCGUGUAGCAGUGAAAUGCGUAGAGAUGCGGAGGAACACCGAUGGCGAAGGCAACCCCCUGGGCUGAUACUGACACUCAUGGACGAAAGCGUGGGGAGCAAACAGGAUUAGAUACCCUGGUAGUCCACGCCCUAAACGAUGUCUACUAGUUGUUGGGCUUUUCGGAGCUUAGUAACGCAGCUAACGCGGGAAGUAGACCGCCUGGGGAGUACGGCCGCAAGGUUA